UUAAUAAAAAUAAAUAUAGAGUAUGUUACUCAGGAACAAUUUAGCUUUCUACUGGUGAAAGAAUUUUCAAAAUCGGUUCAGUUGUUUCAGAGAUUACUUCCUACAAAUAAACUUACA